rnacentral:rRNA from 1 species
UACGUAGGCAGCAAGCGUUGUUCGGAGUUACUGGGCGUAAAGGGUGCGUAGGCGGCUUGGUAAGUGUGGUGUGAAAUCUCCCGGCUUAACUGGGAGGGUGCGCCGAAAACUGGAGUGCUUGAGUAUGGGAGAGGCAAGCGGAAUUCCUGGUGUAGCGGUGAAAUGCGUAGAUAUCAGGAGGAACGCCUGUGGUGUAGACAGCUUGCUGGACCAUCACUGACGCUGAGGCACGAAAGCGUGGGUAGCAAACAGG